CACUAUGCUUAGCCCUAAACAUAAAUAGUUCUACAACAAAACAAUUCGCCAGAGAACUACUAGCAACAGCUUAAAACUCAAAGGACUUGGCGGUGCUUUAUAUCCCUCUAGAGGAGCCUGUUCUAUAAUCGAUAAACCCCGAUAAACCUCACCAUCUCUUGCUAAUACAGUCUAUAUACCGCCAUCUUCAGCAAACCCUUAAAAGGCAGAGCAGUAAGCAAGAUCAUCACGCAUAAAAAAGUUAGGUCAAGGUGUAACUAAUGAGAUGGGAAGAAAUGGGCUACAUUUUCUGUUUUAAGAACACUUUACGAAAGUUUUUAUGAAACUAAGAACUGAAGGAGGAUUUAGUAGUAAAUUAAGAAUAGAGAGCUUAAUUGAAUAGGGCCAUGAAGCACGC
rnacentral:rRNA from 1 species